rnacentral:misc_RNA from 1 species
CCACGUCUCUGUGUCUGUUAGGCUCUUGCUCGCUCUCCUUUCAUUUAACUCUUUCUGAUCAAACCAGGAAUUCAUGCCUAUUUAACGUUACAUUUCCUCCUUAGUUUACUCUGCCUUUCCAGUUCAGAAUUCAGAAGCAGAAAAAUCCAAUUCGCAGAUGGGUUUUGCAAGGAAAGAAUAUGAAUUUUUGACCGAGAUCGGAUUAAGUGAGCGCAACUUGGGUUGUUACGUGAAUGGCACGUGGAAAGCACGUGGCCCAGUGGUCAUCACUUUGAAUCCUGCAAAAAACCAGGCAAUAGCUGAGGUUGUGGAGGGUUCCAUUGAAGAUUAUGAAGAAGGCAUGAAGGCUUGCAGUGAAGCAGCUAAGAUAUGGAUGCAGGUUCCUGCACCAAAGAGAGGCGAAAUUGUCAGACAGAUUGGGGAUGCGUUGAGGGCAAAACUUCAGCAACUUGGUCACCUUGUCGCACUUGAGAUGGGAAAAAUACUUCCUGAAGGCAUAGGAGAAGU